UUGCUCAAGAAUGUUAAGAAUGAGGCAAAGAUAUUUCUUGAAGUUCCAAUGCAAACUUGAUGUAAUGUAACUACUGUAUUUUGGUUAUUCCAAAUAGAUUUAGUGGCAAUAUUGAAGUAUUGAAUUUAGUGGCAAUAUUGAGAUACUGAACUAUCAUGAUUAUCGAUCCUUUAUCAAACAAAGAAGCUAACAUGAUUCUUUUUCUUCAAAUGCUGAUGGUAUUUGUGAAUGUGGAUAUUUUGCUAAUCCAAUCCAUAAUAAUUUGAUAUAGUUUUUCCAACUUAAGGGAGAGUGAUAUAGCUGCUUAAUAUGUUAGGAAAGGCCAGAUUCAAGGACUUUGAA
rnacentral:misc_RNA from 1 species